CCUACGGGAUGCAGCAGUGGGGAAUAUUGCACAAUGGGCGAAAGCCUGAUGCAGCCAUGCCGCGUGUAUGAAGAAGGCCUUCGGGUUGUAAAGUACUUUCAGCGGGGAGGAAGGUGUUGUGGUUAAUAACCACAGCAAUUGACGUUACCCGCAGAAGAAGCACCGGCUAACUCCGUGCCAGCAGCCGCGGUAAUACGGAGGGUGCAAGCGUUAAUCGGAAUUACUGGGCGUAAAGCGCACGCAGGCGGUCUGUCAAGUCGGAUGUGAAAUCCCCGGGCUCAACCUGGGAACUGCAUUCGAAACUGGCAGGCUAGAGUCUUGUAGAGGGGGGUAGAAUUCCAGGUGUAGCGGUGAAAUGCGUAGAGAUCUGGAGGAAUACCGGUGGCGAAGGCGGCUCUCUGGUCUGUAACUGACGCUGAGGCGCGAAAGCGUGGGGAGCAAACAGGAUUAGAUACCCGGGUAGUC
rnacentral:rRNA from 1 species